CUCAUAAUCUGCCCACCUCGGCCUCCCAAAGUGCUGGGAUUAUAGGCAUGAGCCACCACGCCCAGCCAGAAGGAAUAAUUUCUAAUGUGCAAUAGCAGAGUAGGGUAACUGUAAUUAAUAACAAUGAAUUGUAUAUUUCAAAAUAGCUAAAGGAGCAGACUUGAAAUGUUCCCAACACAUAGAAACCAUAAGUGCUCAAGGUGAUGGAGAUUCUAAAUAUCCCGACUUGAUCAUUACACAUUCUACACAUGCAACAAAAGAUCAUAUGCACCCCAUGCACAUGCACGAAUGUCAUGUGUCAAUUUAAAGCAUGCCCCUCCCCGUUGCUGUGCUCCAUGAGUCUGUGUGUGGGGGGGGAUAUCCACACCCAUCACAGCAUAGUCCUGUGUCACUUCUACAUAACAAGAAGGGCCAGGGACAGAGGUGGUACUCCUGGAGGGGGGACGCAGGCCCAGAACAGUUCACUUUUGUGGGUGUGAGGAGUGAGUCAGGCUUGGGACAGGAACGCGGACACCUGGGCCCCACCCUCAGAGAUUCCAAUUGAAGUGGUCUGAAUUGGGACUCUGGCCUCAGUAUUUCUUAAAAACUCCCAAUGACUCCAAUGUGCACCCAGGGUUGGAGAUCGCAGAUAUAUAUACAGUGAAGUCAGACUGUCUCCUGGCUCCUGUGUUUACCUGCUGCUGUACCCGUCAGCACAGGUCUCCUGGUCUCUGAAUCACAAUCCCAAAUUAGUGGGAGAGGAUAUCUGAUUGGCUGAGCUUGGCACCACGUGUCCCUCUUGAUCCAAUUAGCCAUGCCAGGGGGAUGGGCAAUGAACUAUACAGCAGCUGAUCCGCCACUGAGGAACCCCCCCUUGCAUCUGGGGUGUAUUUCCCAUGAAUGGGAAGGUCGUGGCGGGGCAGACAUCCCCAAAGGUGACUGGCACAGCUGGUGUCAUAUGCUAUGAAACUCUUGUUUGUUUUGAAGUCUGUGAAGUCUUUAAGGGCAGACAUCAUUUUCUGAAACCCUAUGUAUUAAUCACGUUUUUGUUUUCUGUAUUUUAGGAUGCUUUGACAUCUUGGAGCCCUGUGGACCCAGGAAGGGACUGCCCUUCCCAGGGUUGGCUAUUUCCUACAGGCAGCAAACAACUUGCCUGCAAGAUGCCUUCGAUAUGCAAACCAACUCAUCCCAAGUCCAUUCCCCAAACUGGCUCCUUUCAUCAGGCUUAGGAAACCCUAGACAUCAUCCUCCUGCCCAAAGUCACCCUAGGGCCAGAUACCAUUCAACUAGGGACCACCCUGAUAGCGCAGAGCCUGCUGAAGUUAUUCAGCCUAUCCAAUCUUAAACUUGCUCAGUGGCUUGCCCUGCCUCACCCGUUCCUUCCCUUGAGAACCACAAAUGAAGAAAAAACUUGGCCCAUGCUUUUCCCUCACUCCUGCCUCCUGACCCGACCUGGUGCCUCCCUGUGUGGCUCUGAAUGGUGUGACAUGUAAUACAAGAACAGCCUAACACAUCAUCCCUGAAUAAGAACAACCUCUUGGGUAUGUUUUUAAAAAUCCCAGCAUCUGGCACAGUACCUGUUACAUAGAAGGCAAGUGAUAAAUACUUGCUGAAUUAAAUAUAUGAAUAAAUGGAUGGAUGGAUGGAUGGAUGGAUGGAUGGAUGGAUGGAUGGAUGGAUAGACAGAUGGACAGAUGGAUGGACAGAUGGGUGGGUGGAUGGAUGCAUGGAUGAGAAGGCCCUUGAGAGUUUAGAGGGGGCAUGGUAUGAAGUUAUAUGCCUGAUCCAGCCCUGGGUGAUGGAUGCCUAGACCUGUCCGCCCAUGUUUCUUCCUCUGUCUUAGGAACCACAGGCAAUUACAGUGGGAUAACCAAAUGGAGAGGCCAGGUGACUCCCUGACAAACAGCAAUCACACCAAGACCUGCAGAAGAAAGGGUGUGGAUUCAGUGUCCCAGCUCUUGAGGGCACUGUGUUUAUAGGUGGAAAUGAUGAAUGGAUGUGCACUGACAUUUAUGUCACUGUGCUGGGACUUGCUCUCUCUUCUGCUCACAGUCUCUCUAUAUAGGAUAAAAGAUUCUGAGCACCAAAGAAUUGUUCCAUCUAGUCAAACUGGGGGAAACUGACAAACUCCAUCUUGGUUCAUUAGACCCAUGGAUGAAUUAUGGGAUGUAGAGGGAAACUGUGCCUGGUGCACACUUAAUGAACCCAGGGGCUCCAGUGAUGGAUGGAUGGAUGGAAGUGAACAUUCAUCUACUCUCACUUGCUCCGAUGAUGUCAUUUUUAACCAACAGUGAACUUCACCCAGAAACCAACCCGGACACAGAGCAGAGAUAAGGCGGGUGAGAGUGCCUCAGGAGGAAUGUUAACCAGAUUCCAGAAGCCUGCCAGUCAGUCCUGCUGACGUUAUUCCACAGAAGCAAGGACUUGGUCUUCUUCAUUCACUGCUGCAUCCACAGUGCUCAGGACAGCGCCUGUGCAGGAACCCCUCCUGAAUGACUGGCAUUUGCACACAGCCUUCUCCACUGCACCACGUGGACACAAGCAGUGUAGGGGAUGCAGCGUCCAUCUGCCCCUUGCUGCUCCUGUCGCAGCCUUCUGCCUUCAGGACCCACCAUUUAAGCCUCUUCAUCCUUCUCUACCUCUCCACUGCCUCAAUCCAGAGAAACUUUAUCCAGCCUGGGGCAGGGCUGUCUGGCUCUGACUGAUCACAUAUUCUCCUAAAUCUAUUAUUUAUGCCUAAACCGUAUGCCCUGAGUCUUUCAGGCCUGAGGCUGCUUAUGCUCAAAAGCCGGGCUUUGAAAUACAGAAAGCUUCUUUCCCCCUUAAAACUAUGGUCUCUGCUGUGAGUUUCCAGAAGCCUAUUUUGUAACACAGAAGUGAAAGCUUGAUUCCUUUUACUGUAUUUUGCAAUGUCAUCACUUCACUAAUGCGAGGCAUGUGAAUGUCCCUGCGGCUGCCUAUACCAGAGGGCAGGCCAAGGGGUUAGGAAGUAGGGUGAGGUUCGUGGAUCAAAAUAUUAUCUGUCACAUACUCUGUAGUACAGGAACUCUCACUAAGUAUUGCAAGUGUAAAUGACCUUGGAAGCACUUUCUGGUUGGAGCCACAGCAUUGGCAAACAAAGCUAAAAAUAAUAAACCCAGUGUUGCUGGGGACGUGGGAAACACCAUGCAUUAGGGAUGCUGUACUCAUUUGCUCCGAUAUUUCUGGAAAGCAGUCUGGUAAUAGUGUAUCAAGAACUAUCAACAUUAUCCCCUGAUGAUGCAUUGGUAAUACCACUUUGGGAGAUCUACUCCAUAAGCAUAAGCCAAAAGAAGCAAAAGAAAAACCAUAAUCUUGUUCAAAGAUGAUCAUGGCAUUAUUUAGAAACAAUGAAAAUAUCCCAGACAGGAAAGUGGUUAAGCACUAUGAUCUGUCAAGACAAUGGGAUAGUAGCUAAAUCUUUGGGCUUAGGGUAGGAUAACUACUUUAACAAAUAACCACAAACCUUGGUGGCUUAGCACAAUAAAGUUUAUUUCUUACACACAUUGCAACCCAAUGUAGGUCAGUUGGGGAGACAGGUUUCCGUAUGCCAUCACUCAGGGACCUAGGCUUCUGUGUUUAUUGGCUCCACGAUUUCCUCCCUGUGUCUGAUAGAUCCAUGAGGUGAGAACAGAGGAUUGCAAGGGAGGUUUCACGAGCCAGAUUCAGAGGUCUGGAGGCAACAUUACUUCUACCCACAUUCUAGGAGUCAGAACGCAGUCAUGUGGCCACAUCUAACUACAAGGGAGGCUGGGAAAUGUAGUCUUGCUAUAAGCCCGGGGUGAAAGGGGAAUUGUCUGAUGAACACAUAGCAGUGAUUGCCACACUGUCAACAAGUUACACGUUGACUAUGCUGACAUAUGAGCACUUAAAUAUUAAAUCAUAUUAAAUAGACAAAGCAAAACACAGAAACACUAAUUAGGACUGAUUACUAAUAACUAUAUACUUGCAAUUAUGUAUACUGACCAACUCAGAAGUGAUUUUAAAGUAUUGUGGGCUUUGUAGUUGUAUGUUUUGUCCUUACUGUAAAAAGAAAAAUCCACAGGGCAGAUAAAACUGUGGUUAUGGAUUCAUGUGACCAGAUGUGGAACUGCAUUAUGGUGUUUACCUUUUUGAAACUUUUUCAUUGAAAACAUAGAAGCUUGUUUGCAGCAACAUGGAUGAACUCGGAGGUCAUUGUGCUAAGUGAAAUAAGCCAGAUAUGGAAGGACAAAUACUGUAUGAUCUCACGCAUAUGUGGAAUCUAAAAAAGUUGAACUCAUUGAGGUGGAGAGUAGAACAGCAGUUGCCAGGGGGUGGGGGCUGGAGAAAACAGGGAGACGUGCUCAAAGGGUUCAACGUAAGUUAUAAGAUGACCAAGUGCUGAAAAUCUAAUGGACAGAUGGUAAUGGAUGUAUUAAUUAAUUUGAUCGUGGUUAUCAUUAUACAAUGUCUACAUAUAUCAAAUCAUCACAUUGUAGACCUUGAGUAUAUUCAAUCUCAGUUAAAUAUUUUAAAAUAAAAAAUUUAAAAACAUAAAUGGAGUAUCAGUAUGAAAAAAUAAA